GGGUCGGAGUUGGUGAUUGAAAUGUACUUUAGGCUGCUGAGCCUUUCAAGAUGCUCUGAAUUUGUCUUAGAUUAUGUCUACUUUGAGAAUUCCUCCAGCAAUCCGUACCUCAUCAGAAGGAUAGAAGAACUCAACAAGACUGCAACUGGCAACGUGGAAGCAAAAGUAGUGUGCUUUUAUAGACGACGAGAUAUUUCCAACACGCUUAUAAUGCUUGCAGACAAGCAUGCUAAAGAAAUUGAGGAAGAAUCUGAAACAACAGUUGAGGCCGACUUGACCGAUAAACAGAAACAUCAGUUGAAACAUAGGGAACUCUUUUUGUCACGCCAAUACGAAUCUCUGCCUGCAACACAUAUCAGGGGGAAAUGCAGUGUUGCUCUUCUGAAUGAGACAGAGUCAGUAUUGUCAUAUCUUGAUAAAGAGGAUACCUUUUUCUACUCAUUGGUCUAUGAUCCAUCAGUGAAAACACUGUUAGCUGACAAAGGUGAAAUCAGAGUGGGACCUAGAUAUCAAGCAGACAUUCCAGAAAUGCUCUUAGAAGGAGAAUCAGAUGAGAGGGAACAGUCAAAAUUGGAAGUGAAAGUUUGGGACCCAAAUAGCCCACUUACAGACCGGCAGAUUGACCAGUUUUUAGUUGUAGCACGUGCUGUUGGGACAUUCGCUCGAGCCCUUGAUUGCAGCAGUUCUGUAAGGCAGCCUAGUCUGCAUAUGAGUGCAGCUGCAGCUUCUCGAGACAUCACCCUGUUUCAUGCUAUGGAUACAUUGUAUAGGCACAGCUAUGAUUUAAGCAGCGCAAUUAGUGUCUUAGUACCACUCGGGGGACCUGUUUUAUGCAGAGAUGAAAUGGAAGAAUGGUCGGCUUCUGAAGCUAGUUUAUUUGAAGAGGCACUGGAAAAAUAUGGCAAAGACUUCAACGACAUACGUCAAGACUUUCUCCCUUGGAAAUCAUUGACUAGCAUCAUUGAAUAUUAUUACAUGUGGAAAACUACUGACAGAUAUGUGCAACAGAAGCGUCUAAAAGCAGCAGAAGCUGAGAGUAAGCUGAAACAAGUCUAUAUCCCAACUUACAGCAAACCAAAUCCCAACCAAAUAUCUGCCAGCAAUGGCAAACCUGGUGCCGUGAAUGGAGCCGUGGGAACCACAUUCCAACCACAGAACCCACUCCUCGGGCGAGCCUGUGAGAGCUGCUACGCUACACAGUCUCAUCAGUGGUAUUCUUGGGGCCCACCUAAUAUGCAGUGUAGGUUAUGUGCAACCUGUUGGCUCUAUUGGAAAAAAUACGGAGGCCUGAAAAUGCCCACCCAGUCGGAAGAGGAGAAGUUACCUCCCAGCCCAGCUACAGAGGACCCUCGAGUUAGAAGUCACAUGUCUCGCCAGGCCAUGCAGGGGAUGCCGGUCCGAAACACUGGGAGCCCAAAGUCUGCAGUGAAGACCCGUCAGGCUUUCUUCCUUCACACGACAUAUUUCACAAAAUUUGCUCGUCAGGUCUGCAAAAAUACCCUCCGGCUGCGGCAGGCAGCACGACGGCCGUUUGUUCCUAUUAAUUAUGCUGCCAUUAGGGCAGAAUAUGCAGACAGACACGCGGACCUAUCUGGAAGUCCACUGAAAAGCAAAAGCACUAGGAAACCUUUGGCAUGUAUCAUUGGGUAUUUAGAGAUCCACCCUUCAAAGAAACCUAAUGUAAUUCGAUCUACACCAAGCCUGCACACUCCAACUACCAAGCGGAUGCUAACCACCCCAAAUCACACGUCUCUGAGCAUUUUGGGGAAAAGAAACUACAGUCAUCACAAUGGCCUGGAUGAAAGGCUCAUGAAGUGAAGGCGCAGCUCUGCUCUAUCCUGCAGACCUUCCUCAGGAUGGCGGGAGGCUGUGAAGAACUCACAUGCUGCGUGUCAGACUGAGCGAUCCCUGUUUAAUCCUAUAAUCCAAGACUUGCUACACUGUCCUGCUGAUGCUCACAGCCAUGCCUGGGAAGGAGGCAACCCCAUUCCCAGUGCAUUUCAGUGGGAGACCUCCACGUGUGCCCCACGGAGACUCAAUGGGGCAGGGGAAGAGACUGCAGGAGUGCAUGUCCCAAAGCCGCGUCUCCUCGUGUGAAUCAGCGUCACCUCGCGUUCCUCUCAGAGACCUCGCUGCCCCGGGGGGGGGGACCCGCCUGGGGCAUCGAGGGGCUGGGGGAGCCACUCUGCAUCCCCGCUUCUCCGGCGCUCUGCACCCCAGGCACCCCGGCACCUGGGGCAGCGGGGCUGCUGCGGGCUCAGAGCCGCUGCUGCCCUGCACGUGCCGGUUCGGCUCUGUCGUCCGCUGUGUGAGUGUGUACACGAGGGACGCGGCAGCUUUCGGAAUGGAUUUUUCUUAAGAAAUGUGCCAGUGUGUAUGCAGGUCACGAUAUCCCCCCCAUCCCUGCUGUCACUGUCACGCAGCUUUCUCUCAGUAGGCUUCAUUCCCCAUUUUUCUUAAUGGGGAAAUGUUGUCCUUCACUCCCUGCAUCCUGUAUUUGACCCACCCACCCCAACCUCCACCUCUCCAAGGUACAGAAUUAUCUAUGGUUCUGACAAAACAUAAGAAAAUUGUCUUUGGGAAGCCUGUGCACUCUUUAUAUCACCUGUACUUUGUUGUCGGAGAGCGGCUGGCAUUCUGCGUGGUCCGUGCGGCUCCAGCAAGAGCUGAGCGUGUGUAUCCCUGUGACCAGCCGUCGUGUCCUGCCCCGUUCCUUCACAGCCAAGCCAGGCAACGAGCAGCUGCAGCCAGGCCGGUCCUUCUGUGAGUCUCAUUCACCCAGGUUGAUUUUAAGCAGAUGGAGUCUGUGGCCUAGAAGGGUGAAGUAAGAGAACUGUGUUUGCGGUGAAUCUGUGUGUAUGACAUUGUAAGCCUCCCACCUCGCCCCCACCUUCCAACCCAAACCUAUCUGUAAGCACCUGUGCCUAGGCCACGGGAGACCUGUCUGCGACCUGGUUUCCACUGUCUGCCCUGGGCCCCAGCCCUGCUGGCAUCACAGGCAGACUGCCCUGCGCUCUGUGUACACAGCCGCAGGGACAGGAAUAACUUAGCGCUCUGUCGGCUCCCCGGGCAGAUGUGAGUCAGCCACUCUCCUGCCUCUGUUUGCAGGGACAGGCUGCAGGGUACACAGUCACAGAGCAGCAUGAAGACAACUGGAGUCUGGCCUCCCAGCCUUCCCUGGAGUCUUCCGCUGGGAGACAGCUGGGUGGCUGAUAGAGGUGCCCCAGACGGCCAGGUGGUUGCAGGACAGAGUGGCUCCAGUUGAGCGGAACACCCCACCACCACCCAGGCAGAGUGAGGUAUCCCUAAAAUGACGAUGACACUCUAGAUGUCUAAUCCUCGGAGGGUGGGUUCAGCUCAGCAGAGAGGAUGUGACGUGUGAUGGCUGAGGGCAGCGCUCGGAGCGUCAGCUGCCUUUUCCUUCUCCAGUCUUGCAGUCAUCCUGGCUUCUCUUCCCAGGGGGGGCUGGUUCUCAUCUUAGGCUUUUGCAGGGUGACCUGGGGACAUUCUCAGCACUGCCAGCUCUUGGAGCUCUUCUUGGUCUUGGCUUGGGGCACGAUGGGUGGGCCUGUGUCAGAGGUGCUCAGUGAGCUGGGCAGGGUGGCAGGCAUUGCCCUCAGGGGCCCACAGAGAAGCUCUUUCUAAAAAGACCCAGGGAGAGAAGGCAACCGGCUCUCCCGUCACCUGCCACGUGCCACGUUCUCCUCGGAAGAAAAAGACACGGCAAAGCUAUGUCCCUUUGCCCUGCCCUGGGUUUGUUGUGCACAUGGACACAGAAGGUGGAAUGAUUCCCUCACCCUUUCCCUUUCCUCUCCUGACCCACAAGAGACAGGGACUCGUGGUUAAAAAAACAAUUAGCCGCCUGUGACUUUGCUGCCAGCUUGUUGGGGAGAGGCCCUCCUUCCCCAGGCCGGGGGAUUUGGAGUCCAGGGCCAGGCUGGGUCUGAAGAAAGAGCAGGGAGGCCCAACCCUGUUCCAGAUCACGUUUAGCUGUGGGACAGCUGCAGCUCAUCUUGAGCCACAUACACCCAGACAGCUCUUCCUUCACUGUGUAGUAAAAGCUCCUGGUUCUACGGGGAGGAUGCUAAGAUCUCUCACUCUCACUUCAUCUCUGGUAAGUCCCCCAGCAUCGGACCUCCAGGGAGAGGAGGAAGGAUGCCAAGGAGCCUCUCGUGUUUGCCUUCACUGCCUGAGAAGUUGGUGUGGAGAGAGUUUCCCAGUCGCCGCCUUUCUUGGGGCCACAGUGUCACUGUUGUGUCAGUGGCGUGUCACCACUGUGAGCAGUGAGCUUGUGGGGUGACACGCAAAGUCGGCUGCCCAGUUGCCAGCAGACGUGCCCGGUGGUGCUGUGCUGAGCCUGGUCUGUGCUCCCUUGGAUGAGGACGCAGAGCCCGUAGGUCAUCUUCCCUCUGCCCCGUUAUCACCCCCUUCACCCCCAGGAGGAGGACACACUGGUUUUUCGCUUGCCUCUCACAGUUGUACCUUGUCCCCAGCCCGGUUUCUAUCAGUCAGCCUCCAGCCAGGAAAACAGAACCAGUCUAUGUAUUUAAAACAGAACAGUUUUAAUUCAGAGGGAAUCGUUCAACACAGAAACAAGAAGAGCUGAGAUGCCAGACAGGGGAGUGAGGGGCAACCCGGAGAUGGGGAACCACAGCUGGUGGGAUACAUGGGAGAGGCCAUGUUCCCAGAUCUCUGGGGUCAGGGUCACUGGGCGGGCCUGGGAUGACAGAGGGAGGGCCUAUGUGGUGGGAGCUGGAGCCGUGGGGAGUCAUGGUGCCUGCUAGAAACAUUCCCCCCAGGGAAAGAGAGGGAGCAGAAAUAGCCUGGCUUCUCCCUUCCUCGUGCCCUCCAGGUUUGUGCAGCUGCCUCUUGUUAGCUAAACCCAGCUGGAAGCCAGCUGACCGGGGAGCUUGGGACAGGCAACCUGCAGCGGUCAGCCCCUCACCACCCGGAGCGGAGCAGAGCAGAGGAGGGCGGGGGCACAGGUCAGAGGGCAGGCAGGCCCAGUACCCGCAUGGCCUCGGUCCUCUCUCCGUCAUGUCCGAGCCUGGUGUCUAUGCCCCAUGCUGUGCUGAGACCCCGGUAGGGGCAGAUGGAGGAGCUGCCCUUUUGGGUUUGUGUAGAUUCUCUUUCAUUCCGCCUAGGGAGGAAAGUGCUCUGGGGAGGUGGGGGGAGGGACUUUAUUCUUAACAGUUGUCCCGGUUUUCCUGUGGGGGAAUUUACCCACUGAGCAGCCCCACCUCACCAUUCCCCUCAGGAAAGCUGUGUCCCAGUUUUCUGUCCACUCCUCCGCAUUCCUCUCUCCCUGAUCUCUGGUUUUCCCUGCCAGAGAACACCAACCCAGACCAUGCAUCAGUGGUCAUGAGUGUUUCCCCAGGAUAAUUCAUUAUACAGUGUGGACCGUCUGUCUGUAAGUAGAUACCAUCUACUAAUCAAUUUGUAUCCUGUUUCCAAUAAA